AAGAAUCCCAUUACACACCUGAAAGGCCACACCUAUCCAACACUCCAUACCCUUUGCUUUUUCUUCUCACAAGACAUGAAAUGGCAGAAAGAACAGAAACGACGUCCAAUUUCUGUUGAAAAGAUGCCAGCGAAAGGGAUGGAAAACAUGGCGGAUGUUAAGGAGGAGGGGUGGUUUGGUGUUGAGACUCUCUGUGCCCCACUAUGCAUUGCUGCUCUCAGCCCCUCCUCUCCCUGCCUGCCUGCCCCUUCCUCUUGUGACGAACGGCAAUCCACGCUUCACCACCAUCUUAGAGAGUGUUGGCAUGAAAUGGAAGAGGGAGGAAAAAUAAAAGAAUGAGCAGGUAAUGGAAAAACAGAAGAAAACUUUGUAGAAAAGACAUGUGAUCAUGGAUGGAUCAGUGCCUGCUGAUGAAGUUGUUGACCCAGCUAUCUGCACCAUUUUUUGUGUGCCCCAACAUUAUUACACUGAAGCACUUUAUAUGCCUCUUUAUUUUGUUUGCACAUUUUGUGUUUUUUUUUUGUAAAGUCAAUUAUCUAUAAGAAUGUAGUUUAUUAUAAUCUGACAUCCUCACAUUAGCUCUGCAAACCUGGAUGUGUAAUUGAAAUUGUUGAAAGCAAUUUCAUUUCAGUCUAUUUGCCACAAUACAAAAUGCUGUUUUGUUUUUUUUUUUACAUUAUUUUAUAGUUUUUAAACUAUAAUAAUAUCUUACAGGGUCAACCAUUAAAUACAUUAAAUGUGUUAUGUAUGUAAGUAUAUAUCUAAACCAGGUCAAGACAAUCACCUAGUCAUAUCUGCUUAGACAGGCGGUUAGCAUAAACUCAAUCUAGCAUAAAGCACUUUAAACAUUCAUAUAACCUUUCCUUCUUCCCAUUCUCAUGUUUUGUAUUUAAUGUCACAGGCCAGGCUUGAGAGCAUCUGCUAUUAUGAAAAUGACACUGUUUAAUAUGAUUGUAAUGUUAUGUUUAAAACAAGUAGCUAAAUAUUAGACUAAUGGUGUAGGGAUCAUGAAUGUGAGACCCACGGCAGCAGUGAAGGGUUACUGCACUGCAAUUGAACUCUGUGUGUUGAUAUUUACACACCCGGUAUAGAGAGAGCUGUUGUCUUUAUUCUCUAUGCAACUGAGUUGGUCAUGCAAUCAUUAAUGAUCAGUGCAUGACCUUUCCUGAGCAGAUGGAACAUCCUUUUUUCAAAUUUGAAAACAAUAUUUGAAAUGUUUUAAAUACUGGGGUAAUUAAGGAGAAGAAACACUUUGCAUAGUUUGUGUUAAUUUUUUUUUUACUGUAUUUUGUCUAUGCAGCAUGAUUGAGUCUUCAUGCACAAGAAAUAAGUGAUAAUCCGAAUUUUUUACAUUUUUACAUGAGCUUGUAAAAAAAGUGUAUGUAAUGUAGAUUGUAAAUGUAAAAUACUUCUUCUUCUUCUUCUUCUUCUUCACUUCUUAGUAGUAGUAGUAGUAGGAGGAGGAGGUUGUUAGAUCGUUUCCUAAUCUGUUGUUACAUAAUCUUAAAAUUCAAUUUGGGCAGAGGCAAACACAUAUUUUAAUAAUCUAUGCAAAUAUAUUAAUGUUUGAUCAUAUAAUGAGAAUUGUGCAAUUGAGUUUGAGACCUAUUGAGACCUGCUAUUUUGGACAGCGAUGUCCUUAAAUCCUAAGUCAGUAAACAAGCAAGUCAUUUUAAUUUUACAUAAAAAUUUAAAAGAUAUGUGAGUACUAUAAUUAAAAAUCUUUUACUAUGCAAUUUAUUGUGGCGUAUAUGUGUGUUAUAUUUCGGAUAAUAUUGUGGUGUAUAUAUGUGUAUCAAAAAUAUAUUUCCUUAUGUGAGGUUUUUGUCAUUUUUUGAU